rnacentral:rRNA from 1 species
CUAACACAUGCAAGUCGAGGGGUAACAGGGAAGAGCUUGCUCUUUCGCUGACGACCGGCGCACGGGUGCGUAACGCGUAUACAACCUACCUUUUGGAGGGGAAUAGCCCAGGGAAACUUGGAUUAAUGCCCCAUAGUAUGGGAAUAUCUCCUGAUAUUUUCAUUAAACAUUUAUGGCCAUUAGAUGGGUAUGCGUCCUAUUAGUUAGUUGGUAAGGUAACGGCUUACCAAGGCAGCGAUAGGUAGGGGUCCUGAGAGGGAGAUCCCCCACACUGGUACUGAGACACGGACCAGACUCCUACGGGAGGCAGCAGUGAGGAAUAUUGGACAAUGGGCGAGAGCCUGAUCCAGCCAUGCCGCGUGCAGGAAGACUGCCCUAUGGGUUGUAAACUGCUUUUACAGAGGAAGAACCACUCCCACGUGUGGGAGUUUGACGGUACUCUGCGAAUAAGGAUCGGCUAACUCCGUGCCAGCAGCCGCGGUAAUACGGAGGAUCCAAGCGUUAUCCGGAAUCAUUGGGUUUAAAGGGUCCGUAGGCGGGCAGUUAAGUCAGUGGUGAAAGUCUUCCGCUCAACGGGAGAACUGCCAUUGAUACUGAUUGUCUUGAGUUAUUAUGAAGUGGUUAGAAUGAGUAGUGUAGCGGUGAAAUGCAUAGAUAUUACUCAGAAUACCGAUUGCGAAGGCAGAUCACUAAUAAUAUACUGACGCUGAUGGACGAAAGCGUAGGUAGCGAACAGGAUUAGAUACCCUGGUAGUCUACGCCGUAAACGAUGGUUACUAGCUGUUCGGCCCGAUUAAGGGCUGAGUGGUUAAGCGAAAGUGAUAAGUAACCCACCUGGGGAGUACGUUCGCAAGAAUGAAACUCAAAGGAAUUGACGGGGGCCCGCACAAGCGGUGGAGCAUGUGGUUUAAUUCGAUGAUACGCGAGGAACCUUACCAGGGCUUAAAUGUAGUCUGACAGGAGUGGAAACACUUUUUUCUUCGGACAGAUUACAAGGUGCUGCAUGGUUGUCGUCAGCUCGUGCCGUGAGGUGUCAGGUUAAGUCCUAUAACGAGCGCAACCCCUGUGGUUAGUUGCCAGCGAGUAAUGUCGGGAACUCUAGCCAGACUGCCGGUGCAAACCGCGAGGAAGGUGGGGAUGACGUCAAAUCAUCACGGCCCUUACGUCCUGGGCCACACACGUGCUACAAUGGUAGGGACAGAGAGCAGCCACUUCGCGAGAAGGAGCGAAUCUACAAACCCUAUCACAGUUCGGAUCGCAGUCUGCAACUCGACUGCGUGAAGCUGGAAUCGCUAGUAAUCGCAUAUCAGCCAUGAUGCGGUGAAUACGUUCCCGGGCCUUGUACACACCGCCCGUCAAGCCAUGGAAGCCGGGGGUACCUGAAGUCGGUCACCGCAAGGAGCCGCCUAGGUAAAACUGA